AAGACGGAAAGACCCCGUGAACCUUUACUAUAGCUUGACACUGAACAUUGAGCCUUGAUGUGUAGGAUAGGUGGGAGGCUUUGAAGCGUGGACGCCAGUCUGCGUGGAGCCGACCUUGAAAUACCACCCUUUAAUGUUUGAUGUUCUAACGUGGACCCGUAAUCCGGGUUGCGGACAGUGUCUGGUGGGUAGUUUGACUGGGGCGGUCUCCUCCUAAAGAGUAACGGAGGAGCACGAAGGUUGGCUAAUCCUGGUCGGACAUCAGGAGGUUAGUGCAAUGGCAUAAGCCAGCUUGACUGCGAGCGUGACGGCGCGAGCAGGUGCGAAAGCAGGUCAUAGUGAUCCGGUGGUUCUGAAUGGAAGGGCCAUCGCUCAACGGAUAAAAGGUACUCCGGGGAUAACAGGCUGAUACCGCCCAAGAGUUCAUAUCGACGGCGGUGUUUGGCACCUCGAUGUCGGCUCAUCACAUCCUGGGGCUGAAGUAGGUCCCAAGGGUAUGGCUGUUCGCCAUUUAAAGUGGUACGCGAGCUGGGUUUAGAACGUCGUGAGACAGUUCGGUCCCUAUCUGCCGUGGGCGCUGGAGAACUGAGGGGGGCUGCUCCUAGUACGAGAGGACCGGAGUGGACGCAUCACUGGUGUUCGGGUUGUCAUGCCAAUGGCACUGCCCGGUAGCUAAAUGCGGAAGAGAUAAGUGCUGAAAGCAUCUAAGCACGAAACUUGCCCCGAGAUGAGUUCUCCCUGAGACUUAGAGUCUCCUGAAGGAACGUUGAAGACGACGACGUUGAUAGGCCGGGUGUGUAAGCGCAGCGAUGCGUUGAGCUAACCGGUACUAAUGAACCGUGAGGCUUAACCUU
rnacentral:rRNA from 1 species